rnacentral:rRNA from 1 species
CAGAUUGAACGCUGGCGGCAGGCCUAACACAUGCAAGUCGAGCGGAAACGAGUUAUCUGAACCUUCGGGGAACGAUAACGGCGUCGAGCGGCGGACGGGUGAGUAAUGCCUGGGAAAUUGCCCUGAUGUGGGGGAUAACCAUUGGAAACGAUGGCUAAUACCGCAUAAUGCCUUCGGGCCAAAGAGGGGGACCUUCGGGCCUCUCGCGUCAGGAUAUGYCCAGGUGGGAUUAGCUAGUUAGUGAGUAAUGGCUCACCAAGGCGACGAUCCCUAGCUGGUCUGAGAGGAUGAUCAGCCACACUGGAACUGAGACACGGUCCAGACUCCUACGGGAGGCAGCAGUGGGGAAUAUUGCACAAUGGGCGCAAGCCUGAUGCAGCCAUGCCGCGUGUAUGAAGAAGGCUUCGGGUUGUAAAGUACUCUCAGUCGUGAGGAAGGUGGUGAAGUUAAUAGCUGUAUUACUUGACGUUAGCGACAGAAGAAGCACCGGCUAACUCCGUGCCAGCAGCCGCGGUAAUACGGAGGGU